CUUGUACUCCCUCUAUCCAGAAAUACUUGUCAUUGAAAUGGAUGUAUCUAGAUGUAUUUUAGUUCUAGACACAUCCAUUUUGAUGACAAGUAAUUCCGGAUGGAGGGAGUACUUC
rfam:Triticum aestivum genome assembly, contig: Triticum_aestivum_CS42_TGACv1_scaffold_501980_6BL